CCUACGGGCGGCAGCAGUGAGGAAUAUUGGUCAAUGGACGAGAGUCUGAACCAGCCAAGUAGCGUGAAGGAUGACUGCCCUAUGGGUUGUAAACUUCUUUUAUAAAGGAAUAAAACGAGGCACGUGUGCCUUUUUGCAUGUACUUUAUGAAUAAGGAUCGGCUAACUCCGUGCCAGCAGCCGCGGUAAUACGGAGGAUCCGAGCGUUAUCCGGAUUUAUUGGGUUUAAAGGGAGCGUAGAUGGGUUGUUAAGUCAGUUGUGAAAGGUUGCGGCUCAACCGUAAAAUUGCAAUUGAUACGGGCAGUCUUGAGUACAGUUGAGGUAGGCGGAAUUCGUGGUGUAGCGGUGAAAUGCUUAGAUAUCACGAAGAACCCCGAUUGCGAAGGCAGCUUACUAAACUGUGACUGACAUUGAUGCUCGAAAGUGUGGGUAUCAAACAGGAUUAGAUACCCGAGUAGUC
rnacentral:rRNA from 1 species